GACGAACGCUGGCGGCGUGCUUAACACAUGCAAGUCGAACGAAGUGGCGAACGGGUGAGUAACGCGUAAUCAACCUGCCCUUCAGAGGGGGACAACAGUUGGAAACGACUGCUAAUACCGCAUACUGAAGGAGGGGCUUGCGUCUGAUUAGCUAGUUGGAGGGGAAACGGCCCACCAAGGCGAUGAUCAGUAGCCGGUCUGAGAGGAGGAACGGCAACAUUGGGACUGGGGCACGGCCCAGAAGCCUACGGGAGGCAGCAGUGGGGAAACUUCCGCCAUUGACGAAAGUCUGACGGAGCAACGCCGCGGGAGUGGUGACGGCCUUCGGGUUGUAAAGCUCUGUUAGUCGGGACGCGGUACCGGAAUAGAAAGCCACGGCUAACUACGUGCCAGCAGCCGCGGUAAUUC
rnacentral:rRNA from 1 species